rnacentral:lncRNA from 1 species
CCCCCAACACAUGCAGCCCCUGUUCUUCCCACCUCUCCAGCUCCUGAGUGUUCCACGGCCCCACCGUUGCCUGUGUUCUUAGAAGUGGGUGCAGGUAACCCAGACAGCAGCAAGCUGGGGAGAGGCCAGGUUGGGUCAGUCUUCAUUCCCAACCCACAGAUGACAGGCAGGAAAGAUGAGUGGUCGCCUCACCAGCCACCGUGGAUGUGAAGUAAGCACCUUCUCAGGGAGGAUUUUGGGCAUCCCAGCCCACCCAGAGGUGCACAGACGACAGCAUUGCCCCACUCUGGUGUGUGUUGGGGACAGGCCAGGUGCCAGGGCUGGGAGGGGGCCCCUGGAGAGGAGGGGGCAUGGGCUACAGAGCUGCUCCAUGGGAAAGAACAGGCCCUGGUGCUGCUUUGCCUGUCAAUAAGAAGUGGGGGCCUCAGCUAAGUGUCUGGUGGUCUUGCAGGGGACCACAGGUUACACUGCAGUGACAAGGAGGGGCUGAAGGGGCAGAAGGGGAAGAGAGGCAGAGCUGACAGGGGUCCCAGCAUCCUUCCGGCCCUCUGUGCACCCCCACUUCUGUCUCAUGUGCCAGGCCCUGGGGCAGCGCUGAGGGUCCAGGUGCUCCCCAUCCAGGGGAGAGGCAGACGCCAGAGCUUCCCUAAAGCUGCGACCUGGGAAGUAUUGAAUCAGGGUGGAGACAGGGCCCUUGAGGCUCAGACGAGGCACCCCUGAGAGUCUGUCUGCUCAGGGAGGAGCCCA